AUGACGGACAGCCACGGGAUAUUACCACUCACCAUCGUCAUCCUUAUUCUAUUAUCACCAGACUUCCGAAAUGUCAGAGCGUUGGUGAGGGAGGAGGCUGACGUCACCACAGAUUACAACCAUUACACAUGCACCAAGGUCAUUGGCCGCCACUGCACCAUCCGCACGUGUAGGGACUCAUGCCAUAAGAAGCUCAGAGGCGUCGGCAACUGUCUUGCCGACGGCGAGUGCAGGUGCUCAUAUUACUGCAACACACCCCCUUUUACGACCAAGUCGUAUGAGACGCUCCAUUGA
rnacentral:rRNA from 1 species